rnacentral:snRNA from 1 species
GGAUAUGAGGAUGAUCUGGCUGCAACAUCUGUCACCUCAUUUAUUUCCAGGGUUGAUUCGGCUGAUCUGGCUGGUUAGACGGAUGUCCCCUUCCUCUCUCACCACUCCAUGUAUGUCCCUCCCAGAGCUGCUGGUAGAAGAGGACGUCCUUCCCAGAAUAGAGGCAGACCUUAGAGGUGGACCAGAAUUCAGUAAAGGUAUAUGAGAUACGAGUAGCUGCACUCCCCAGCUAGAAUCUCUAAACAAGCUUAAAGGUAUCUAUGAUGUGUGACAAUGACAGGAUCUCUCUGGGUUCCAACCUAGGUU